UGGGGAAUUUUGGACAAUGGGGGAAACCCUGAUCCAGCCAUCCCGCGUGUGCGAUGAAGGCCUUCGGGUUGUAAAGCACUUUUGGCAGGAAAGAAACGUCGCGGGUUAAUACCCCGCGAAACUGACGGUACCUGCAGAAUAAGCACCGGCUAACUACGUGCCAGCAGCCGCGGUAAUACGUAGGGUGCAAGCGUUAAUCGGAAUUACUGGGCGUAAAGCGUGCGCAGGCGGUUCGGAAAGAAAGAUGUGAAAUCCCAGAGCUUAACUUUGGAACUGCAUUUUUAACUACCGGGCUAGAGUGUGUCAGAGGGAGGUGGAAUUCCGCGUGUAGCAGUGAAAUGCGUAGAUAUGCGGAGGAACACCGGUGGCGAAGGCAGCCUCCUGGGAUAACACUGACGCUCAUGCACGAAAGCGUGGGGAGCAAACAGGACUAGAUACCCUGGUAGUCCACGCCCUAAACGAUGUCAACUAGCUGUUGGGGCCUUCGGGCCUUGGUAGCGCAGCUAACGCGUGAAGUUGACCGCCUGGGGAGUACGGUCGCAAGAUUAAAACUUAAAUGAAUUGACGGGGUCAUAGCUGUUUCCU
rnacentral:rRNA from 1 species